CGCAAUUUCCUCAAAGUUGAAAUUCCGCAUUUUCCGUAAUAAAAGGAUUUCAGUUUCAGUUUACGGUUCGUUAUCGGGCAGGGAAGUUAUGCAGAACGAUUUUUGAUUUAGAUUCAAUUCAAUUUCCACAGAAGAUGGCUAACAACAAAAUCGGUAGCAACAGCAGCAGCAAAAGUGAAGGAAAAUCAGAUGGAAAUGGUGAAGUCGCAGAGCCAAAAAAGACGUUAUAGCCUCCCGUCAAUUUAUUUGACUGGGCGCAAUCGUCUGUGCUAAGCUGGAUGGCUGGCCUUGGUGGCCCGGGAUCGUUGUUACUCUCUAAUGACUGUGGGCUGCCACCUCCGAGAAAACCGACUAGUUACUGGAUAUAUUUUGGUUCGGCGGCCAUCAAACCGUGUCCGAGAUUUAUUAAUUACAAAACGUUUUCCGACUUUAGUUCAAAAUUUUGAUUAACAUUCUUGGGAGUUAAAGCGGAUGCCGGCGGAAAAACUAAGCGGUUUUCUAGAUGACCGUUUGGCCAGCCUGUUAAAUCAAGCUUGUAACAGUCUCUAUGAAAGAGGAGUCUUGGAAGCCCUGCUGGUUUAAUACGACAACAAAUUUACAUUCCAAUUCUGGACAUCAAACGUCUUUAACUUUUUUAAAUCCAUAGGCACUCGCCUUUAUUAGAGAUCAGAACAAAUAAGUUAAAGGCACGGCUGACAAAUUGAAGAAUUGGGCCAUCAAACUCUUGGCGUCGUCAAAGAGCAACAACAGUCGAGAUGUGGUCUUGGACGAGUUCCCGGAAUGGCUGCAACGUCCCAUGGAUCGGAUCAAAGACAUCAAUACCAAGUUGAAGAGGAUCGCCAGUGAGAUUUUCGUUUCUUUAUUAGAUUUCUUCAGAUGAAACCGAUCAGCACAUUUGACAUGAAGGAUGCUCAAGGCUCCGCCAAACAUCGUCUGGUGUUCGUGGACUAACAUUCCAUAACUGAAUUUCAAUCCGCAAUUGGACGAGCAAGUCAUCAACAACGACCAUUCAGUUCGUCCAUUUCUAGUCUUCCGCUCAGCCGAGAGCCAUUUUUCAUCAAAUAUCCUUGGAUUCUUGAACAUAUCGUGGCCAUAAACCAACCUCUGCCAGGCAACUGGCAGGAGAAACACGACCGGAUGCUGUUUCAGCGCGAUACCCGAAGCAAGACGAAAACAGUUAAAGCUCCAGUCCAUUUGGAGCAUUACUCGAUCGUCCAGCUGACCUAGAAAACGGCCAAGAAGAAGAAGAAAUUGAGCAGCGAUCUCCGCUCGAGUUGGAAACUUUGCGAAGCCGUCGGCAGUGCUGACAAGGACAGCGACGGAAUUAGUGACGAAACGUGCGACUUUUCGCUACUCUGACGGAUCAAGCCACUUACGCCCGCCCCGAGCCGUUUCCGGAGUAUGUGUCGCAUUUCAAAAAAGCUGAAGUGCAAGAACGAUUACAUAAUCGCAGUUUAUCAGCGUCGUUGUCGAUUCACAUUUUUCAACCGAUGUUGAAGUUGGUCCGUGUCGUUGGCCCGAAAUAAGCCGUGGAUUUUUAUUUACUCUUCCAUUCAGUACGUUUCUCACCUUGUUUUCUUUUUUAAUGUAAUCAGGAAUGUAAACUAUAUUUAUCGUGACUGUUCCUGAACAAAGAAUACAAUUUGUUGUUGGAAAAAUUUGAAAUUGAUUUUACAACUGUGAGAGAUUUAUUUGGACGAAUGUAGUUAAUAAUCUAUUAAUCUGAAUCGAUUCCAAUAUCCAUGUCACAAAAGCCACCUCCGUAAUCACCAAAGUCGCCGUAGUAUCCUCCGCCGUAAUUUAUAUUUUUCAACCAUACGAACCGUAUCCGCCAUAAUACGGAUAUCCGAAGAUGCAUCUCCAAAGUAAUAAGGAUAAGCACGUCUCACAUACGGUCGGUGGUAUAGGGCUUCUAGAUAGCGCAGGGUUGAGUGGAACUGCUGGAACCGGCGGCGACUCCAGCAAUUCAGAUUAUUAUAGCUUCUCCGAGUUAUUCAGACUUCUCUGACGCAUCUUUUCCCACAUUUUUGGGACUAUAGAAAAAAUUUCUGUGUGAGGUUCGUCGGGUUGUCCAGGCUGAUGAGCUAUUUUCACGUCAACUUUUAAUCCGUUUUUCUGCUUUGAGGUGAAACCAGUGUGUCUCGAUCGGUCUUCAAUGGUUGUCAAGUCUUCCAGAUUCUGUUGGUCCUUUUCGACCGAUCGGCCAAGAACACAACAGCGCAAAAAGUACCAUCAAAUUACCAAAUACACACGAGUUAUCUGCAAUUAAAUCAACAAUUCAAGAUUGUAAAGCAAGUAUUGUAGCAUAGCAAGUAUUGUAAGCAAGUCCUCUUAUGCAGUAUAUGAGUAUUAGUA